rnacentral:tRNA from 7 species
GGGCCUAUAGCUGAGUUGGUUAGAUGGUCUGAGUAACACUCCUAUGAUCCUGAGUUCGAAUCCUAGUAGGAGCG